AUUAGCACUCACUCCACUCCUUCCUGUACAUUUCUGCCUUUUUUUUCCCUCUAGCCUCACCUCAUUCAAUGAAGUCAUCGCUUUGUCAGAGCAUCUUAGAUUCAGGCUGCGGGGAAGCUCGUGCUCUGCCCUUUAUAGGGUUAGUCCAUUCUUUGUGAGGUCACCGCUUCUUAAUGUCUGUGGGAAAAAGAUGCAGUUGGGGAAUAUGUCAUGUUGAGGACUUCCCAGGAAUAAUUUUAUAAACUCAGAUUUCGCUUCUGAGCACGUCUCUUACGGUUCUCUAUGGGGGUGACUUUAGCUGAGAGUUCUAACGGUAGGCAUUUGGAACCUAAAGUGGCCACUUUCUGUAGCCUGUCAGUUCCCCCCAGUGGAGGGAUAAAGACACUAACCCAUACACAAAGCCUUUGACCCCAAUUUCGUCUCAUCUACAAGAAGUGCAGGGAUAAAGAAGAAACAGAGACUGAGGGAAUGAUCAACCAAUAACCAGCCCAAACUGAGACCCAUCUCAUGGGCAAGGACCAAUCCCUGACACAAUUAAUGGUACUCUGUUGUGCUUGCAGACAGGAGCUUAGCAUAACUGUCCUCUCAGAGGCUCCCACAAGCAGCUGACUGAAACAGACACAGAAGUCCACAGCCAGACAUUGGAUGAAGCUUAGGAAGUCUUGUGGAAGAACUUGAGGAAGAAUCAAGGGUCUUUGAGGGGAUAGGAACUCUACAGGAAGACCAACAGAAUCAACCCCCGAUGCACAUAAGUAGCAGAUUGCAGCUCCAGCUUCGUGUGAUGAUCUGAUGCUGCUCCCUGGUCAUUGAAACCAGUUUCCAAGUUACUUUGUCAGCUCACCAAACACAGUGUGUCAUCUUCACGUGCCCAUCAAUGUCUUUAGUAAUCAUUUUGUAUUAUAAGUCAAAAUAAAAUUCAUUUUUCAUCUAACACUGAGGUCCUACUUGAGUAUUGUCACAAUUAUCUCUCUUGGACCAUCAAGGUGGAUCAGUGAGUAAAGACUUAUGACCCAAGUUUGAUCCCUGAGAACUCACAUGGCAGAAGGACAGAUUAGAC
ensembl:lncRNA